rnacentral:lncRNA from 1 species
AGGCACAAAUGGGGUCUGGGCACCUCCAGGUGGGAUUUGGGAGACACAGGUGGAAUUUGAGAAGCCCAAGUGGGGUCUGGGCAGCCCCAGGUUGGAUUUGGACAACUCCAGGUGAAAUUUGGGAAGCCCAGAUGGGGUCUGGGCACCUCCAAGUUGGAUUUGAACACCCCCAGGUGGAAUUUGGGAAGGCCAGAUGGGGUCUGGGCACCUCCAGGUUGAAUCUGGAACAUCCCAGGUGGAAUUUUGGAAACCCAGGUGGGAUUUGGGAAGGCCAGAUGGGGUUUGGGCAGCCCCAGGUUGGAUUUGGACAACUCCAGGUGGAAUUUGGGAAGCCCAGGUUGGAUUUGGACACCCCCAGGUGGAAUUUGGGAAGGCCAGAUGGGGUUUGGGCACCUCCAGGUUCAAUUUGUGCACCUCCAGGUGGAAUUUGAGAGGCUCAGGUGGAAUUUGGGCAGCCCCAGGUUGGAUUUGGACAACUCCAGGUGAAAUUUGGGAAGCCCAGGUGGGGUUUGGGCACCUCCAAGUUGGAUUUGGGAGGCUCAGGUGGGAUUUGAGCAGCUCCGAGUUGGAUUUAGGAAGCCCAGGUGAGGUCUGGAAGACUCAGGUGGAGUUUGGGCACCUCCAGGUUGGAUUUGGACACCCCCAGGUGGAAUUUGGGAAACCCAGAUGGGGUCUGGGCACCUCCAGGUUGAAUUUGGAACAUCCCAGGUGGAAUUUGAGAAGCCCAGGUGGGGUUUGGGCACCUCCAGGUUGAAUUUGGAACAUCCCAGGUGGAAUUUUGGAAACCCAGGUGGGAUUUGGGAAGCCCAGGUGGGGUUUGGGCACCUCCAAGUUGGAUUUGGACAACUCCAGGUGGAAUUUGGGAAGCCCAGGUGGGGUUUGGGCUGCUCCAAAUGGGAUUUGGACACCCCCAGGUGGAAUUUGGGAAGCCCAGAUGGGGUCUGGGCACCUCCAGGUUGAAUUUGGAACAUCCCAGGUGGAAUUUGAGAGGCUCAGGUGGAAUUUGGGAAGCCCAGGUUGGAUUUGGACAACUCCAGGUGAAAUNAUGGAAACCCCACAGACCUGUAGGCGAUGUUGAGGGCCAGGGGCUGCCGGGUGGGGUUGUUCAUCACGGCGUAGUGACCCUGCAGAGGGAAUGGAGAGGAAUUAGGAGAUUCCCAGAAUCCCAGCUCCUGUUGGGAUCAGGAUCAGGAUCAGGAUCAGGAUCAGGAUCAGGAUCAGGAUCAGAAGGUGGCCCCACCAGCAGGUCCAGGAUCCAGGGGGUGAGCGGUUCGAAGCCAGGGAAGCGAAUCCUCAGGUCCUUGAGCAGCCGGAUCAGAACCUUCACCCUGGAGAGAGGCAGGAGCAGCUCAGGCCCACACCAGGAACUGCUCUGGGAUCUUGGGAAUGGGAUUGGGGUCCAGAUCGAGGAUCUGGACCCAGAAUCAGCAUCUGGAUCCAGAAUCAGCAUCUGGACCCAGAAUCAGCAUCUGGAUCCAGAAUCAGCAUCUGGAUCCAGAACAAGGGUUUGUAUCUAGAACCGGGUUUAGGAUCUAGAACCAGGAUUUGGAUCCAGAAGGAGAAUCUGGAUUCAGACCCACGUUGAGAAUCUGGACCCAGAACUAAGAUCUGCACUCAACAGGAGGGUUCAGACCCACACUGAGAAUUCAGAUCCAGGAGGAUCCGGACCCAGAUUGAUGAUCUGGACCCAGAAGGUGGAUCUCGACCCAGAACUAUGAUUUGGAUCCAGAAGGAGAAUUGAAGAUUCAGACCCAGAACUAAGAUCUGGACCCAGAUUGAGGAUUCAGACCCAGAAGGAGAAUCUUAAUCCAGAUUGAGGAUCUUAAUCCAGACUGAGGAUCUGGACCCAGAACAAUGAUCUGGACCCAGAAUCAGCAUCUGGAUCCAGAACAAGGAUUGGUAUCUAGAACCGGAUUUAGGAUCUAGAACCAGGUUUAGGAUCUAGAACCAGGAUUUGGAUCCAGAAGGAGAAUCUGGAUUCAGACCCACAUUGAGAAUCUGGACCCAGAACUAAGAUCUGAACCCAGAAGGAGGAUCUGUAACCAGACUGAGGAUCUGGACCCAGAUUGAAGAUUUGGAUCCAGAACGAGGAUCCAGAUCCAGAAUGAAGAUCUGGACCCAGAACUAAGAUCUGGACCCAGAUUGAGGAUUCAGACCCAGAAGGAGAAUCUUAAUCCAGAUUGAGGAUCUGGACCCAGACUGAAGAUCUGAACCCAGACUGAGGAUCUGGACCCAGAUUUAGGAUUUGGAUCCAGACUGAGGAUUCAGACCCAAAAUGAGGAUCCGGACCCAGAUUGAGGAUCUGGACCCCAGACUGAGGAUUCAGACCCAGACUGAGGAUUCAGACCCUGAUUAAGGAUCUGGACCCAGAAUGAGAAUCCAGAUCCAGAAGGAAAAUCUAUACCCAGACUGAGGAUCUGGACCCAGAAUAAAGAUUUGGACUCACAUUGAGGAUUCA